rnacentral:ncRNA from 1 species
GGGGAAUCCAACUGUUUAAAACAAAGAUCGCGAAAACACAAUGCGAUUUCUGCCCAAUGCUCUGAAUGUCAAAGUGAAGAAAUUCAAGGAAGCGCGGGUAAAUGGCGGGGAGUAACUAUGAGUCUCUUAAGGUAGCCAAAUGCCUCAUCGUCUAAUUAGUGACGACUAUGAAUGGAUGAACAAGUUUCCC